UACGAAGGGGGGCUAGCGUUGCUCGGAAUCACUGGGCGUAAAGCGCACGUAGGCGGAUUGUUAAGUCAGGGGUGAAAUCCUGGAGCUCAACUCCAGAACUGCCUUUGAUACUGGCGAUCUCGAGUCCGGGAGAGGUGAGUGGAACUGCGAGUGUAGAGGUGAAAUUCGUAGAUAUUCGCAAGAACACCAGUGGCGAAGGCAGCUCACUGGCCCGGUACUGACGCUGAGGUGCGAAAGCGUGGGGAGCAAACAGG
rnacentral:rRNA from 1 species